GAAGAAGCACCGGCUAACUCCGUGCCAGCAGCCGCGGUAAUACGGAGGGUGCGAGCGUUAAUCGGAAUUACUGGGCGUAAAGCGCAUGCAGGUGGUUUGUUAAGUCAGAUGUGAAAGCCCGGGGCUCAACCUCGGAAUUGCAUUUGAAACUGGCAAACUAGAGUACUGUAGAGGGGGGUAGAAUUUCAGGUGUAGCGGUGAAAAUGCGUAGAGAUCUGAAGGAAUACCGGUGGCGAAGGCGGCCCCCUGGACAGAUACUGACACUCAGAUGCGAAAGCGUGGGGAGCAAACAGGAUUAGAUACCCCGGUAG
rnacentral:rRNA from 1 species